GGCUGUCACCUCGUUCAUACCAAACCAUCUACCUAAUUGAAUAAGAUGUGGUUGGUUAAAAUCUAAGUUCCCCUGCCUGAAUUUUUAGUCUAAUGCGGAAUAUGGUGAAGUAAUUAAGGUAGAGCUUCAUGGCAAGUUAAUGGAUGCAUAAUAACACCAGCCUUUCCUUAUUAGUUUAGCCUUUUGAGGAUUUUGGAAUAAACUAACUCAUAAUGCAACAAGACAAACACCCACAUUACAACCUAAAAUAUGAAAGAGAGAACUACCAUUUUGUGUGUAAUCGUAUCUUUUCCUCACUUGUUUUUGUCCUCGCAACAAAAAUAUAAAAUGAUGAAAAUAUGUGGCCACACAUAGAUAGACUGAUUAUAACAUUAUAGAUCCUAUUUACCCAUCACAUAUUAUGUUUUGUGCCACCAUUCCUGAAGAGGAUUUUUGUAGUUUGUUUCGUUUGCUCAAUUGUAUAAUGUAUAGCUAAUUUUUUUUGGGUGAAACACAGUACAAAGGUAAAUGCACAUCUACACACAUGCGCCUUGUGGAGUUGUGAAAUCUUGCCUUGAUAACUAUAUACUCCCUCC
rnacentral:lncRNA from 1 species